rnacentral:rRNA from 1 species
AUUGAACGCUGGCGGCAGGCCUAACACAUGCAAGUCGAGCGGAGCGGCGGCCGGGGGAGUAAUUCCUCGGAAUCUGCCUGGCAGUGGGGGAUAACGUCCGGAAACGGGCGCUAAUACCGCAUACUCUCAGAUGAACCUAGGUCGGCUUAGCUAGUUGGUGGGGUAAAGGCCUACCAAGGCGACGAUCCGUAACUGGUCUGAGAGGAUGAUCAGUCACCCGAGAGCUGGGACGCGGACCAGACUCCUACGGGAGGCAGCAGUAGGGAAUAUUUGACAUGGGGCGGAAUCCUGUUCCAUCCAUGCCGCGUGUGUGAGGAAUGUCUACGGAUUUUAAGGCACUUUAAGUUGGGAGUCGUUACCAACAUAAUAAGCACCGUCUAACUACGUACCAGCAGCCGCGGUAAUUC